AAGUAAAGGAUUUUCUAUGGACUAUCCCACUCCUUUUUAGAAUAAAAUGGAAAAAAAGAAACAAAAAAGAAAAAAGAAAUACAAAAUGAAAAACACACAUCCAACCUGGAGAGGAGGAGAGGAGAUCACAGCAACCCGCUGAUUGUAAACUGAGUUGACCGUGACUGUGGCUGUGGAGGAUGGUGAAAAUAAUGACCGUUACUUAUUCCCGAGAAGGACUAAAGAGGAUCGCUGUACGAUUAGAUGAGACAACAUCCAGUGAUAGGCCAUAGCAGUGAUAGGCCACUCCUCACAGUCCGUUUACAGGGUGUUUUCCAACAUGAGAGAAACAGACCAGCCUGAAACCUUGUUCAAUACCGAAGAAUGCAACAGAGGAUGGCACCAUGCAGCACCGACAGUAAUAACCAAAACAAUGCCAGAUCAGAGGACACAACCAAAGACAUCUUUCCCCCUCUCCUUCGCCCACCUCCCCUCCUCCCCACCUCCUCCCCUCUCAGAGAGACUGCAGCCUGAUCUGUAUUAGGAGGCGCGGAGUGACAAGGUCUUUCUGAGACAUUAGCGGAGAUGUUCAGACUCUGCUGCCAAGAAAACACGGAGAGAGUGCUAAAAGGAGUGUGUGUGUGUGUGUGUGUGUGUGUGUGCGUGUGUCUGUGCGUGUGUCUGUGCAUGCGUGUGUGUGUG